rnacentral:lncRNA from 1 species
CGAGGCUGCCUGGCUAGGCCUUGGCGUUCCCCCAGAGCGGUGAUGGCAAAAGCAGAUGGAGACGUGGAAAAUGGAACAAGAAGCUCCGGGAGCCAGUGCCCAGCGUCUCAUCUGUCUGGGCGCCCAGCCCAGGUGAGGGCCCGGCUCCACCGUCCGUGGCUGGUGCUGCUUCCUGGCACGGAGAAGGCCUUGGCUGCUCUGUCCCCUCAGCUGGGGUGGCCUCUGGUCCCCUUCUUUUGGUUCCCUUUUCAAGCCCUUGCCCUGGCCCCGGGCCCCACCGGGCAGCCUGUGUGUGGCAGGGGCUGGGCGGGUGCUCAGGGAUGGAGGCUGGCAGGGGCUGAGCGGGUGCUCAGGGAUGGAGCUGGCAGGGGCUGGCAGGGGCUGGGCGGGUGCUCAGGGAUGGAGGCUGGCAGGGGCUGGCAGGGGCUGGGCGGGUGCUCAGGGAUGGAGGCCGCCCCAGCUUGGGCCUGG